GUUUUUCAGCUGAACACUGAGAGACAACAUCCCACAUACCGAGGAAACCAGGAUCCAGAUAGACAAACUGCUGGAGGAAAAUCAUUCAUCUGACAGCAAAGAUGCAGUGGAGUCUGAUUCUGCUCUUCCUGAUGGCUCAGUGUUGUUUCAUUGACUGUCAGCUCUAUAAGUAUCAUUACAUUAAUGAGAAUAAGAACUGGACUGAAGCUCAGCAGUACUGCAGAGAGAAUCACACUGACCUGGUCACAGUGACUAACAUGAAGGACAUGGAGAGACUCAACAUCUCAGCUGGAGGUCAGAGUGGAGCUUGGAUUGGUCUGUAUGAUCCAACAAACGGUACCAGAACAUGGUACUGGUCUCUGCCUGGAGUGGAGUUCAAUGAAAGUGAG